CGCAAUGAUCACAGACAUAUUCGUCAGAAUAAUCUUUGCCAAUACCUGCGCAAGAAUUAUGAGACCAUUUAUUACAAUUUUUACACUGAAUCCAUGACUCUAAAAUAAUCGUUUAUUUAACAAAC